ACUCUCGUAGCUCAGUUGGUUAGAGCACCCGUUUAAUAAGCGGGAGGUCUUGAUUUCAACUUUCAACGAGAACA
rnacentral:tRNA from 1 species